GGCCUGGGCCUUUGCUUGGCCUCUAACUGCUGUGGUGCGUUAUAAUUACAUCACCGUGCAACACACUGACAUCAUUAUAACACGUCGCAGCAGUUAAGAGGCCUAGCUGGCUGCAGCAGAAGCUAAUGGCAGGCAGGAGAUAGCGGCAGCAGAAGAGGAAGAAGAGGCCCUCCCACAGGUUGCUGCUCUAGGCAACGGCCUAGGUCCACGCAAGUUCUGCUCCUAUUCUUGUUCACGGACCUUCAGAUGUGUUCACGAGGAGAGAGACCUUCUAGCCUCCCCGGCUGUGCCUGCACUGGUCCAAAUCUGAGGGGACAAAUUGCCCAGGCGGCACUCGCCUGAACAUCUGGAUGAGGAUUUUUUAACAAAGACCAUAACAAGCGAACACCAUCUAAGCGAUCAAUUAUCCUGUUAAAGAGAGCGUUGAAGACAUGGGUUGAGGCACAGAUGUAAUACGCAUUCUGUUCAGUAGCUAAUGAAGUUGUGAGUCUUGUAUAUGAUAUUAUUUAUACUAGUUUAUCAAUACUCAUGUGUUAUGUUACCAUGAUUUUUAUCAGUGAAAGCUGCCAAAAGUCUCCAUAAACAGAUGAUUGUACAAACAUGAUUUAGAACAAGAUAUACUUUCUCACAGAAUCUUAUGAGUGCUGUGUACAUUCCACCCCCCACAGCACAUUGCCUUAAAAAUCUGUGCUAAAAAAUGAAAAUAAAAUAAAAUAAAAUAAACUGCAUUAUAUAGCUAUGACUCUUGUAAACUUUAAAAAACAAGCCAUGUGACUUUUUAAUGAGCUGCAUGCAAAGUCAAGCCGAAAUUCAAACAUACUGGUUUCUUUCAUAUAGCAACAAAUACUUUCCAAAACAAAUAUUUAUGCCAAAAAAACUAUGUACUUAACGCUAUAUUGAGUCUAUGUUUAAUUUAUUUACCUUGCUGUAUGACAUAUUUUAAAUUUCUAUGUUGCUAACCUAACAUUCGGCAUUAAAAUGGGUCACACCACAGUGCACCCUUUGUUGAGCAUGAAUAACGUGCAACUUGUUUCCCAUGUGCUCCCUACUGACAAGACUAACACUGAAUGCCGUGUUAUAAUUGCUUAAACAUACUGUAAUCAAAGUAUCUUCAUGUCUAGCUGAAAAAUGAAUUAUCAUCAGAGUCAUCUUUAAACCAUCUGUCUUAUGUUUAUAUAUCAAUCAGUCUAGGGGAUCAUAACUUCAUAUUAAAGUCCACCGAGCACUUUAAAAUGGAGAGGAAGACCAAACAAAACUUAAUAUCCUUUACAAACAUGGCUUUGUUCAGGAAGAUAUGGAAAAUUCAAAGCAGAUGAAGUAAAGAUAAAGAACAUCAGGCAGACUUUGAUUUAUAACCUCAAAUGUUUAAUGCCACUAUUUGUUCACAUAUGUA